AGCUAAGACUAUAAGUAACAAAAAAUAUAUAGAUAACAUUGAGUUAGUACUAUGAUAGAUAAUAAUUUUUUAAGUAUAAAUACAUAGCCAUUUUAUUGGUCAAAAAAGGUUUUUAACUUGUUUUUAAGUACUGGGCAAUAUAAAGUAUGGCCCGUUCUUUUUUAAUUGGAUUUGCGGAAGAAAGAAAGAGGAAAGCAAUUGAAAGGCGACGCUUACGUGAUGCUAGUGAUCCUGUGGUGAUCCUUUACAGCUGCCUGAAAGAGAAUUUAUAGCGAAUUUUCGUUUGACAAAGGCUGGUUUUCAACUGGUGGUGGAGAUGUUGAAAUAGGAAACAUUUUCCUUCAUUAAAUGUAUUAAUAGUGACUCAGGAUAUGCGCAACGGCCCUGGAUGAUGACACCAAUAUUAGGAGCAGGACCUGUGGACACCUGAAGAAUACUAUACCAACCUUCAUUGCCAUGUCAGGAAUACUGUUGAACGGUGUUUAGGGUUUUUCAAAGCAAGUUGGAGUUGUUAAACUUUGUUGGCUCAUAGAGUACUUCAUUAUGAUCCAGUUACUGCUGGUAAAAUAGUGAAUGCAUGUGUUGUCCUGCAAAUAUGCAGAAUGCCAAAAUACCCGAAAUACAGGCAAUGUCUCAGGAUUUAGGAGAGGAUGCUAUAGUUGAGGUUAUACAAGAUCUUACCAGAGAACAACUAGUACAGAGACUAUGGAAUUCAAGAAGAUGAUAUGUUAAAUAAAUAUUUAUUGUGCUUAAAAAUGUAUUAGUUUUAACUGAAAAUUAUUUAUACUUGUAUCUGUGAUUAAACAUAUUUUCUUACUAAGAUAAUGUUAUAGCUUCUAAUCGAAUAUGACAAUUAUUGGGUAUAUUAUUUUCUUGUAUAAUUUAUAAAUUAUCAUACAUUGUUAAUGCUCUGAUAUUAUAAGUGUGAUGUAGUUGUGUCAAUUAGGUAAUAGUUAAAACAAGGUAUUUAAGUAAUUAAACUUUUGAUAUCUAAAAAAA